rnacentral:tRNA from 1 species
GCCGGUGUGGCGGAAUUGGCAGACGCGCUGGACUCAAAAUCCUGUGGGCUUUACGCCCGUCUCGGUUCGACCCCGAGCACCGGCACCA